rnacentral:rRNA from 1 species
ACGAACGCUGGCGGCGUGCCUAAUACAUGCAAGUCGAGCGAGCUUGCCUAGAUGAAUUUGGUGCUUGCCCCAGAUGAAACUAGAUACAAGCGAGCGGCGGACGGGUAAGUAACACGUGGGUAACCUGCCCAAGAGACUGGGAUAACACCUGGAAACAGAUGCUAAUACCGGAUAACAACACUAGACGCAUGUCUAGAGUUUAAAAGAUGGUUCUGCUAUCACUCUUGGAUGGACCUGCGGUGCAUUAGCUAGUUGGUAAGGCAACGGCUUACCAAGGCAAUGAUGCAUAGCCGAGUUGAGAGACUGAUCGGCCACAUUGGAACUGAGACACGGCCCAAACUCCUACGGGAGGCAGCAGUAGGGAAUCUUCCACAAUGGACGCAAGUCUGAUGGAGCAACGCCGCGUGAGUGAAGAAGGGUUUCGGCUCGUAAAGCUCUGUUGGUAGUGAAGAAAGAUAGAGGUAGUAACUGGCCUUUAUUUGACGGUAAUUACUUAGAAAGUCACGGCUAACUACGUG